rnacentral:rRNA from 1 species
UGGGGAAUAUUGGACAAUGGGCGCAAGCCUGAUCCAGCCAUGCCGCGUGAGUGAUGAAGGCCCUAGGGUUGUAAAGCUCUUUUGUCCGGAAAGAAAUGGCUCUGGUUAAUACCUGGGGUCGAUGACGGUACCGGAAGAAUAAGGACCGGCUAACUACGUGCCAGCAGCCGCGGUAAUACGUAGGGUCCAAGCGUUAAUCGGAAUUACUGGGCGUAAAGCGUGCGCAGGCGGUUGUGCAAAGACCGAUGUGAAAUCCCCGAGCUUAACUUGGGAAUUGCAUUGGUGACUGCACGGCUAGAGUGUGUCAGAGGGGGGUAGAAUUCCACGUGUAGCAGUGAAAUGCGUAGAGAUGUGGAGGAAUACCGAUGGCGAAGGCAGCCCCUGGGAUAACACUGACGCUCAUGCACGAAAGCGUGGGGAGCAAACAGGAUUAGAUACCCUGGUAGUCCACGCCCUAAACGAUGUCAACUAGUUGUUGGGGAUUCAUUUCCUUAGUAACGUAG